UAUGAUGAUGAUACAUGAACUGGGCUCUGAUCAGUUUGUUGCUGUGCUUAUUAAUGGAAAUGCAGCCUAAAAAGCUUUAUCUGAAUU